GGGGUGUAGUUAAAUGGUAUAACGGUGGUCUCCAAAACCACUAUUGCGGGUUCGAUUCCCUC
rnacentral:tRNA from 1 species